UACGAAGGGGGCUAGCGUUGCUCGGAAUCACUGGGCGUAAAGGGUGCGUAGGCGGGUCUUUAAGUCAGGGGUGAAAUCCUGGAGCUCAACUCCAGAACUGCCUUUGAUACUGAAGAUCUUGAGUUCGGGAGAGGUGAGUGGAACUGCGAGUGUAGUGGUGAAAUACGUAGAGAUUGGGAAGAACACCAGUGGCGAAGGCGGCUAUCUGGACGGUUUCUGACGCUAAGACGCGAAAGCGUGGGGAGCAAACAGG
rnacentral:rRNA from 1 species